GUCUAAUAACAGUUUCUAGAAUAAUGUUUAGAUGCACUUUCACAGUUUUCUAGAUACACACCAGUGACACGGGGAGCAGGAGCCCACACUUUAGAGCAGGAGCUGGUAAGAAUUGGAGACUUUAAAUUUAAUACCAUGCGGAUGCACUUAAAGCUGAUUUGACCAAAAAGAAAUGCACGAGCAGCCCCAGUCUCUGCCUCAAACCACCCCACCUCCAUCUAAGGAGGGAGUUAUCUUAACUUCUCCAUCAGCUCCUAGACCUUUCUUUACUGUGCAGAACCAAGAUGACGGGGGAAGAAGGGAAAUUAAAGUCACUAAAAAGGCUGCAUUGACCUACGUAAUGAAGGGCUGAGCAAGGAAGGAGAAAUGAAGAGACAGGCAGGUUUAUGGGGGUCCAGUUGGGUAGAGAUUUGGGGAGCAGCUUUGUUAAGGACAUACUUUAAGAUGGAAAAAAUAGGAUUUUUCAGAAGUUCUGCUAUGGCGUUUUCAGAAGAAACAGCAAGAAUGCUUUAAUUUGUUUAUAAUUAUUAUUUGCUGGUCAGGCAGUCAUUGAACGGGAUGCCACGCUGCACGGACCACAAGGUGCAGUGUGUUUUCUAGCUUGCUCUCCUCUCCUCUAUUAGACACUAGGUUCUUUCACAUCACGUACUCUGCCUUUUGUAAAAUAAGAACAAAGUGCAGAGUUCUACACACGGUGUGGCAGGACAUGCUCAUUAAAGUUUAUGCUUGAGGCAGAGAUAGGAUUGAGGCCAUUUAACAACAAACAGAAGGUGCUGCAUGCCCGGAUCCCUUCACUGAGGCUCUGGGAGAGAAGUCCCACCUGCCAAUUCUGAAAUCCCCAGGUGCUCCAGUCUCAGAUUACAUUAACUGUUAUUAAUUGCUGGCACCUCACAACUCAUUGCCCUGCACCAAUGCAUCUUAAUAGCAUGGCUGAGAACCAUGGAUAGAAACCAUUUGCUUCAGGCAACUGAAGAAUCCAUUUGAAAAUCAGAAAUGUCUAUAGACCCAUACUCCUUUGGCCAGAGAAACAAUUCCCAAAAAGCAGGGCCAGACAGUAACAGUUGAGCUCAGUGUGGACCUUUCCAAACUCCAGGACUAGUCUUACACUCCUCUCCAGCCCAAGGGGAGUUAGGGCCCAAGGCUGUCUUCUCUAAAGUGUGUGGGAAGAGCACUAGACACAGAGCCCAGAGAUUGGGUUCAAUCCAAGCUCUGCCGCCAUCUUACCAAGAGGCAACACUGGGCAAGAGGAUGAGCAAAGAAAUGGACUUUGGAGCUAAACAGACUGGGCUCAAAUCCCAGCUCCCUCAUUUACUCUUCUUGUGAACUUGGGCAAAGCACUUGACCUUUUUGUGCCUCAUUUUCCUCAUCUGUAAAAAGGAACAGAAAUAUUUACUUAUCAGGUUUUGUCAUAAGAAUUAAAUAAGAUAUAUGUAGGUGCUCACUAAAAGUCAGUUGCUGCUGUGUGGCCUUGGGUAGGUUAUUUAACAUCUCUGAACCUCAUCUUUCUCCUUGGUAAAGUAAUGGGGGUAGAUUACAUAAUCUCAAAGACUCUUGACAAUAGGGAACUCUAAGAAGAUAUCUGAUCCUGACAGAGAAUAAUAAACUUAAGGAACAAAUAGCUAAGGAAAUUUUGUCAUGAGAUGUUGACUCAAUCUUCCAAAUGUCACGGCAGAGGCAGUAGAGACCAAGCAGAUUGGAAAGGCAAUCAUCACACAGGCAUCUGCAGCAAGUGGACAUACCCCACAGUCAGCUGGGCACAAUGAGCAGCUCUCGCUUUCCUCACAAAGGCCGCCCCCACAGACUGAACCAAUGGAGAGAAAGAAAAAGAGAACUUAAAAAAUAUUUUUAAGACCAAAAUAAGUAAAUUCAAUUAAAAAACAAUUUUUAAAUGGAACAAAAAGCAAACUGGUCUAAGACUUGGUUCUGAUGCUGGUUCUAUCACUAGCUUGGUUUCCAAUGUUGCUUUGGCUACCAGGAAGCUCAUAGUCAAAUUUAUUGUUCAUUUUUAAUAACUGUAGAGAAGUUAUAUAUUGUCACUGUAACUCCACUCGCCCUUUCACUUGACCAUUAUACUUUAACUUAUUUUCCAUGAUCACAGCUUUGUUUUAUUUUAGAUUUUGCUAUUUCAUUAUAGCUAUUCUUAUAAUCCACUUGAAAUCCUUUAUGA
ensembl:lncRNA